rnacentral:rRNA from 1 species
AUUGAACGCUGGCGGCAGGCCUAACACAUGCAAGUCGAGCGGAUGAAGGGAGCUUGCUCCUGGAUUCAGCGGCGGACGGGUGAGUAAUGCCUAGGAAUCUGCCUGGUAGUGGGGGAUAACGUCCGGAAACGGGCGCUAAUACCGCAUACGUCCUGAGGGAGAAAGUGGGGGAUCUUCGGACCUCACGCUAUCAGAUGAGCCUAGGUCGGAUUAGCUAGUUGGUGGGGUAAAGGCCUACCAAGGCGACGAUCCGUAACUGGUCUGAGAGGAUGAUCAGUCACACUGGAACGGAGACACGGUCCAGACUCCUACGGGAGGCAGCAGUGGGGAAUAUUGGACAAUGGGCGAAAGCCUGAUCCAGCCAUGCCGCGUGUGUGAAGAAGGUCUUCGGUUUGUAAAGCACUUUAAGUUGGGAGGAAGGGCAGUAAGUUAAUACCUUGCUGUUUUGACGUUACCAACAGAAUAAGCACCGGCUAACUUCGUG